AGAGUUUGAUCCUGGCUCAGGAUGAACGCUAGCGGCAGGCUUAACACAUGCAAGUCGAGGGGUAACAGGGAGUAGCAAUACUCUGCUGACGACCGGCGCACGGGUGCGUAACGCGUAUGCAACCUACCUUGUACAGGGGGAUAACGGAGUGAAAAUUCCACUAAUAUCCCAUGGUGUUGGAGAUUCGCAUGUUUCUCCAACUAAAGCUUCGGUGGUACAAGAUGGGCAUGCGUGACAUUAGGUAGUUGGCGGGGCAACGGCCCACCAAGCCGACGAUGUCUAGGGGAGCUGAGAGGCUUAUCCCCAACACUGGUACUGAGACACGGACCAGACUCCUACGGGAGGCAGCAGUGAGGAAUAUUGGUCAAUGGACGGAAGUCUGAACCAGCCAUGCCGCGUGGAGGAAGAAGGUCCUAUGGGUUGUAAACUCCUUUUGUUCGAGAGUAAUAAGUGGGAUGCGUCCCACGAUGAGAGUAUCGGACGAAUAAGCAUCGGCUAACUCCGUGCCAGCAGCCGCGGUAAUACGGAGGAUGCAAGCGUUAUCCGGAUUUAUUGGGUUUAAAGGGUGCGCAGGCGGCGCGUUAAGUCAGCGGUGAAAUCUCCCGGCUCAACCGGGGAACUGCCAUUGAUACUGGCGUGCUAGAGUACGUACGGCGCCGGCGGAAUGUGUCAUGUAGCGGUGAAAUGCUUAGAUAUGCCACAGAACACCGAUCGCGAAGGCAGCUGGCGAGGCCGGUACUGACGCUCAGGCACGAAAGCGUGGGGAUCAAACAGGAUUAGAUACCCUGGUAGUCCGCGCGGUAAACGAUGGACACUCGGGAUUUGCCCCUUUUUGGGUGAGUCCCCCNAGCGAAAGCGUUAAAGUGUCCCACCUGGGGAGUACGCCGGCAACGGUGAAACUCAAAGGAAUUGACGGGGGCCCGCACAAGCGGAGGAACAUGUGGUUUAAUUCGAUGAUACGCGAGGAACCUUACUCGGGCUUGAAAUGUGCACGGCGGGGGAAAGAGACUUCCCCCUCCUUCGGGCGUGCAUGUAGGUGCUGCAUGGUUGUCGUCAGCUCGUGCCGUGAGGUGUCGGCUCAAGUGCCAUAACGAGCGCAACCCCUUCGGCCGGUUACCAUCGGGUGAUGCCGGGGACUCCGGCCGCACUGCCGCCGCAAGGCGCGAGGAAGGCGGGGAUGACGUCAAAUCAGCACGGCCCUUACGUCCGGGGCCACACACGUGUUACAAUGGGGGGCACAGCGAGCGGGGCCAUGGCGACAUGUCCCGAAUCAUGAAAUCCCCUCCCAGUUCGGACUGGAGUCUGCAACCCGACUCCACGAAGCCGGAUUCGCUAGUAAUCGCGCAUCAGCCAUGGCGCGGUGAAUACGUUCCCGGGCCUUGCACACACCGCCCGUCA
rnacentral:rRNA from 1 species